rnacentral:rRNA from 1 species
AUUGAACGCUGGCGGCAGGCCUAACACAUGCAAGUCGAGCGGAUGAAGGGAGCUUGCUCCUGGAUUCAGCGGCGGACGGGUGAGUAAUGCCUAGGAAUCUGCCUGGUAGUGGGGGCUAACGUCCGGACACGGGCGCUAAUACCGCAUCCGUCCUGAGGGAGAAAGUGGGGGAUCUUCGGACCUCACGCUAUCAGAUGAGCCUAGGUCGGAUUAGCUAGUUGGUGGGGUAAAGGCCUACCAAGGCGACGAUCCGUAACUGGUCUGAGAGGAUGAUCAGUCACACUGGAACUGAGACACGGUCCAGACUCCUACGGGAGGCAGCAGUGGGGAAUAUUGGACAAUGGGCGAAAGCCUGAUGCAGCAAUGCCGCGUGUGUGAAGAAGGUCUUCGGAUUGUAAAGCACUUUAAGUUGGGAGGAAGAGCAGUAAGUUAAUACCUUGCUGUUUUGACGUUACCAACAGAAUAAGCACCGGCUAACUUCGUG